UCCGCGCAGGGAAUCCAAAUUCAGAUCUAAUCGUACCGGCAUGAGAAACCAAAGCCAUCGUGAGCUCCCAUAAAAAUUCCUAACCCUCUCCCCAAAUCAAGAUAAGUCCGACGGAUCUGAUCUCCCCCAAAACUUCAGCACAAUAAAUCUCCGGCUCGAGGAUGUACCACCAUGGCCAUGGGGAAGAUAUCAAUCAUCAGCGUCAGUGCGGAAGAGAGAGGAUGUGGAUUGGAAACCUGAGCGCGCGGACCCCUACGGGCCUCCGGCCAGCUUGCCUGGGCAUGCCGCGUGUACGUCUGGUCGCGCAUCUGGUACUGCCAAGUUCUAGAGGAAGAGGGCGCACAGGAACCUGCCCCGGGUCCGUCGGCAGGCUCGUAUGAGGAGACGGCGGCGGCAGCCGGCGAGCUGCGCAGCAGGAGGCGGAAGAGAGCCUACGUAAACGGCCUACUCUGCGUCCCAGUUCCCUUCUCAGCUCCCUACCAGGACGCCCUGAGCAGCACUAUCCACCGCCCCGAGCAGGACCUAAAGUGCCGCCCAACAGCGCCGGCCCGACUUCCCUUCUCUGCUGCCUGGCUCAAGAUGCAUAUCUAGAUCCACGUCUCCCUGCUACAAGGCGCUGCCCCUCGCUUCCCCAAAGAGCUGCCCUCCCCCUGAGCUUUUUUCUCCUCGUUAACAGAAGAGCACCGGACGGCGGGACGACCUCCACUUCAACCGCUACCUCUCCACCACAAAGAAAUUAUAGGUCGGCGUAGACCUGGUGGCGCGGCUGGUCGGGGUAACUGGGCCCAAGGGGAGGAAUCUGGAGCUUUUUAUAUAAAGCUUGGUGUUCCAUUUUUUUUCGGUGAGUUCAUUCCAACUGGAAUGUCAGCAGAAUUUGUCAAAGCGCAUUCCCAAAGAAUUCUUCAGUUUAGAGUGUAUGCUCUCCAGUAGAGCUGAUGUCAACAGCCUAUGUUCUAGAAAUGCAUCCAUAUCGCUUGUAUUCCUGAACGAGGAAAGAAAUUUUAUCCUGAAGUUUGAUGAGGACAUGCCUACAAGAAUCCAUUCUCUUGUGGAAAAUCUUGAUGCUGGUAUAUGGAUUCAAGUUCCUUCCAAAGAACUAUCCUGCUCCGAGCAGCCUUUGUUGCCCACAUUCAUCAUGAGCAAAAUAUCAAAAUGCAACUUAAUUGCUGAAGAUCUGUACUGUAUGGAUGGGCUGGAGGCAGUUUUUUGUAUCACUGAUGGGUUAAGUUCAAUCGUCAAAGAAAGUACAAUGUAUGCAAUGCCUGGCAGUUUUUAGAAUGUAGAAGUUCCAAUGAGGAGAGCGUUGAAUCUAAUGAGCCUACCAAUAUCACUAUUUUUGCCAUGGAUUUGAUGUUUCUCUUUGGUCACUCGAAAGAAAGAUUUACCAUUGGAGAAGGUUGCCACUGCAAACCUUGAGGUUGGUGUUUCUGCGGUAAUGAUUGGUGGAAAUCCCGAGCGUGUUGACAUGGAUAUUGUCUCAUUAGCUCUGCAAUCAUCUGGUGGGCCAUCUUCUCCUGUUCUAAUUAAGUAGAGAUGAGGUAUUAAUAUCUAUACCUCUUUUCGAGACCUUGUUAUAUUUGGUUGAUUCGGAUAUUUUCAUUCCUACAUAAGAAAGGAAGAUAACAGUCUGGAUGCGGGGCAUCCAGCAGCUUUGCCUCAUUUUUCAGACUCUGCAACGUCAUCAUUUCUUGCAUCAGAUUUUAGUUCGCAAGACAACUCUUACUUUGUGGUAACAUGUGAAAAUAUCGCUGUUGUCCUUCAUGUACUUAUCUGGGAGAAAAAACAAAAUCAGACAAACAAUUAUACAUGGAUUGAUGGGAGUUCUGGUUCUAAUUCAAUGCAAUGAUACUCAAUGCAUUGAACCAAGAGAUUGCAAGUUUAUCACCUUUACUAUUGAGAGUAAACAUUUGGUGGUCAUGUUCGGUGAAAGUUAGGUGAAAUUCAAAUGUGAUUAAGAUAGAGGAGAAGUAAUACUGGAGAUGAUUCAAGUGAACAAGGGUGCCUCUGUUCCGUUCAUGCAUAUCUCUACGAUUAAAGUUUGUGGUUAGAUUGAUCAAUCGGAUUUGAAAUCACUAUGCCUUUCCGUUGAUCUACAAGUAGAAUAUAUGGAUGUUAGUUUUUCGCACCAAAUAUUUAGUUUCUAGCAUAGCAUGGAACUCAGAUUUCCUAAAUCGUCAUCAUCAGCUUCUUCAUUUUGUUCUGUGAUCUUCAAGGCGGGGUUAAUAAAAGGUUCUCUCCUGCUAAAUGAUGCAAGGGUAUGUUAUGCUGCAAGGCCCCCGAGGACCAAUUACGGCACGGCAACCGAGUGUUUUGAGUCUGCUUCCUACUAAAGAGCUAUACAAUCAGGUUCAGGUAAUAUGUAUUGGUAUGAUAAGAUUGCUGCUUUUGAAGCAUAAGAUCAAGAUGAGUAAAAGAGAGAAUUAUACAGGUAAGCAAACAAAAUGACAUAUCAGGAGAGAUAUAUGUGCACUUUGGAGUAGAUGUACCUAUAAAUAUGGCUUAGAAAGAAAACUAUAAGCGCCUUGAGUAAAUCUGGAUGAUCACUAAUUGGGACUCAGAAAAUGGAUGAUGCAAUUCAUUUUUUCAUUGCAGCUCAUGUUCUACGCAAUCUAUGUGGGCCAUACGGCCAGGGCCUCAUCUGCAGAGGCGGAGUAGGCGGUUACAUCCUUGUGUGGAGCAAGGCGAAGUGGACGAGCGAGCGCGCCCUGACUUCGUGGCAGGUGGCCAGAAGCUGUUGCUGGAACUAGAGGUGAGCGAGGAGGCGCACGACCUCGCUGGCAAUAGUGGAGUCAUCGGACAUCGCAGUGGCGGUGAGGUUGGGGCAUGGGGGAGAAUUUUGGAUGACCAACAUUACCAGCGACAUGAGGAAGAGCAUGAUUGAGGACAUAUUUCGAUGGUCUCUUCCAAAGUCGAAGGGACUAUUACAUUUCAUAUUGUGCGAUGUAAACUUCAUACAACAACCUGUUUCAAUCUUCUGGUUGAAUAGAAGGGUCUCAUUUAAGUACA